rnacentral:rRNA from 1 species
CAGCCGCCAGCGGUAAUACAGAGGGUGCGAGCGUUAAUCGGAUUUACUGGGCGUAAAGCGUGCGUAGGCGGCUUUUUAAGUCGGAUGUGAAAUCCCUGAGCUUAACUUAGGAAUUGCAUUCGAUACUGGGAAGCUAGAGUAUGGGAGAGGAUGGUAGAAUUCCAGGUGUAGCGGUGAAAUGCGUAGAGAUCUGGAGGAAUACCGAUGGCGAAGGCAGCCAUCUGGCCUAAUACUGACGCUGAGGUACGAAAGCAUGGGGAGCAAACAGGAUUAGAUACCCCAGUAGUCCCUGUCUCUUAUA